UACAGAGGGGGCAAGCGUUGUUCGGAAUUACUGGGCGUAAAGGGCGCGUAGGCGGCCUUCUAAGUCGAACGUGAAAUCCCCAGGCUCAACCCAGGAAGUGCACUCGAAACUGGCAGGCUUGAAUAUGGAAGAGGGUCGCGGAAUUCCCGGUGUAGAGGUGAAAUUCGUAGAUAUCGGGAGGAACACCAGUGGCGAAGGCGGCGACCUGGGCCAAUAUUGACGCUGAGGUGCGAAAGCGUGGGGAGCAAACAGG
rnacentral:rRNA from 1 species